rnacentral:rRNA from 1 species
GACGAACGCUGGCGGCGUGCUUAACACAUGCAAGUCGAGCGGAAAGGCCCUUUCGGGGGUACUCGAGCGGCGAACGGGUGAGUAACACGUGAGUAAUCUGCCUCAGACUCUGGGAUAGCCCACCGAAAGGUGGAUUAAUACUGGAUAUUCACUUUCGCGCGCAUGCGUGGUUGUGGAAAGUUUUUUCGGUCUGAGUUGUGCUCGCGGCCUAUCAGCUUGAUGGUGGGGUAAUGGCCUACCAUGGCUUCGACGGGUAGCCGGCCUGAGAGGGUGACCGGUCACACUGGGACUGAGACACGGCCCAGACUCCUACGGGAGGCAGCAGUGGGGAAUAUUGGACAAUGGGCGGAAGCCUGAUCCAGCAACGCCGCGUGAGGGAUGACGGCCUUCGGGUUGUAAACCUCUUUCAGCACAGACGAAGCGCAAGUGACGGUAUGUGCAGAAGAAGCACCGGCCAACUACGUGCCAGCCGCCGCCGUAAUAC